UACGAAGGGAGCGAGCGUUGUUCGGAAUCACUGGGCUUAAAGCGUACGUAGGCGGACAGGAAAGUCAGGAGUGAAAGCCCUGGGCUUAACCCGGGAAUUGCUUUUGAAACUCCCUGUCUGGAAUCCGGUAGAGGUUGGCGGAACUCCGAGUGUAGAGGUGAAAUUCGCAGAUAUUCGGAAGAACACCAGUGGCGAAGGCGGCCAACUGGACCGGUAUUGACGCUGAGGUACGAAAGCGUGGGUAGCAAACAGG
rnacentral:misc_RNA from 1 species